rnacentral:rRNA from 1 species
CCCUAGUAUAGUAGAAAUAGGAAUGAAAUUAGUAAUUAUUUGAAAUUUAAUGAUUUUGGCGGUCAAUUAUAGAUUUAGAGGAGCUUGUUUUAGGGAUAAGAAUUAACUCUUUAAAUUUUAAUAAUAAUUAGUUUAUUCAUCUCCGUUAGUAGAUUUGUAAUUAAUUAAGAUUAUAUAUCUUAAAUUUCAGGUCAAGAUGUAGUAUUUAUUUAAUAGAAAUUAGCUACAAUUAUAAAGUAAUGGAAUUAAUAAAGGAAGGGUUUUAGGAAAUUGAAUUUAAUUGUAAUAGGUACUAGAAAGUUAUUAUGAAAUAGUAUAGUUGAUGUA